rnacentral:tRNA from 1 species
GGAGAGCGCUUCGUUCACACCGAAGAGGUCACUGGUUCGAUCCCAGUAUCGCCCA